UCACUUAGGGUGAGUAAGAAAUAUGUUAGGGAGAACGAAAAAGAGAAUCGGUAAGUGCCACAACUCUUGAAAAACCUAGCAAGCAUUGAAAAAAAUAAAAAAAAUUAGAAAAGAGAAACAUCUGUUUUGUGAAUACGUUGUGAAAAGAAAAGAAAAAAAUAGAGAAAAUGAAAAUGAAUGCUUGCUUGGAAGAAAAAUAGUGAAAAAGAAAAAUUGAGUUGUGAAAU
rnacentral:lncRNA from 1 species